AACGAACGCUGGCGGCGUGGAUAAGACAUGCAAGUCGAACGGGAACUUCAGCUGUAGCAAUACAGUUGAAGUUUUAGUGGCGAACGGGUGCGCAACACGUGGGCAAUCUGCCGAGAAGUGGGGGAUAGCUCGCCGAAAGGCGAAUUAAUACCGCAUAUGAUCAGCUAAGACAUCUUAGCGACAUCAAAGCCGGGGCAACCUGGCGCUUUUUGAGGAGCCCGCGGCCUAUCAGCUAGUUGGUGAGGUAACGGCUCACCAAGGCUAUGACGGGUAGCUGGUCUGAGAGGACGACCAGUCACACUGGAACUGAGACACGGUCCAGACACCUACGGGUGGCAGCAGUCGAGUAAUUUUUCUCAAGUGGGG
rnacentral:rRNA from 1 species